CACUGCCAAGAAAAUCUUCUAGCGUUUAAUUCAAUACUACCCGUACCGCAAACCGACACAGGUAGUCGAGGCGAGUAGCCUCAGGUGAUCGAGAGAACUCUCGUUAAGGAACUCGGCAAAAUGACCCCGUAACUUCGGGAGAAGGGGUGCUGUAGAAAUACAGCCGCAGUGAAAAGAUCCAAGCAACUGUUUAUCAAAAACACAGCUCUCUGCUAAACCGCAAGGUGAUGUAUAGGGGGUGACGCCUGCCCGGUGCUGGAAGGUUAAGAGGAGGGGUUAGACAUUAGUCGAAGCUCUGAAUUGAAGCCCCAGUAAACGGCGGCCGUAACUAUAACGGUCCUAAGGUAGCGAAAUUCCUUGUCGGGUAAGUUCCGACCCGCACGAAAGGCGUAACGAUUUGGGCACUGUCUCAACGAGAGACUCGGUGAAAUUUUAGUACCUGUGAAGAUGCAGGUUACCCGCGACAGGACGGAAAGACCCCAUGGAGCUUUACUGCAGAUUGAUAUUGAGUACCUGUGAAGCAUGUACAGGAUAGGUAGGAGA
rnacentral:rRNA from 1 species